rnacentral:rRNA from 1 species
GAUUUCUGGCUUGAGACGCCUGGUCCGCCGAGGUUACUCGUGUGAGUGCCGGUGUGUCUCUGUCAUCCUUCUGGAAAACAAAUCUAUCCUUUAUUGGACUGGGUUUGUGAUCUAGAUCUUUUACUUUGAAAAAAUUAGAGUGUUUAAAGCAGGCUUGCGCUAUGAAUACAUUAGCAUGGAAUAAUAAUUUAGGACUUUGGUUCUAUUUUGUUGGUUUCUAGGACUGAAGUAAUGAUUGAUAGGGAUAGUUGGGGGUGCUAGUAUUCAGUGGCCAGAGGUGAAAUUCUUGGAUUCACUGAAGACUAACUUCUGCGAAAGCAUU